UAGCGUAUAUUAAAGUUGUUGCAGUUAAAACGCUCGUAGUCGGAUUUCGGGGCGGGCCGACCGGUCUGCCGAUGGGUAUGCACUGGCCGGCGCGUCCUUCCUUCCGGAAACCGCGCCUUCUCUUGACUGAGCGGGUGCGGGAGACGGAUCGUUUACUUUGAAAAAAUCAGAGUGUUUCAAGCAGGCAACUCGCUCUUGCAUGGAUUAGCAUGGGAUAAUGAAAUAGGACUUUGGUGCUAUUUUGUUGGUUUCGAACACCGAAGUAAUGAUGAACAGGGACAGUCGGGGGCACUCGUAUUCCGCCGAGAGAGGUGAAAUUCUUAGACCAGCGGAAGACGAACCACUGCGAAAGCAUUUG
rnacentral:rRNA from 1 species